AGUAUGGCAAAAUACAGUGUGCUAUUUAUCUGGAUGGUGUACUCUUAACGGUUAAAAAGUUGAGUGUGGAACGCGCCAUCUUGGCUACCUAGCGGAAGAGGAGGGACCACCGACUCAUUGUCAGACUUGUGAAAAUGGUGACUGAGGUAGCUGCAGGGAUUGCAGUUUCCAACACAAGCAAGUAAAAGUAAAAUUCGUCCUUAAAAAGAAGAAGAAGAAGCGGUCAAUGUUGCGACGGUCAUUUCCAGUAAGUGCACAACUGCCGUGUUUGAUUGGAGACAACAGUACCCUGAUGAAACUCACUCACUACACAAGCCUCCACCCACAUGCACUUGUGAGCCCUGUUUGUACUGGGUGGACGUAGAGAUGUUUGAAGG